GACGAACGCUGGCGGCGCGCUUAACACAUGCAAGUCGAACGGAAAGGCCUGCUUUCCCUUGUGGAUUGCGGGUACUCGAGUGGCGAACGGGUGAGUACCACGUGAGUUAUCUGCCCCCAACUUGGGUAUAAGCCUGGGAAACUGGGUCUAAUUCCCGAUAGGACUGCAGGGUGGUGCCUGUGGUGGAAAACGAUUUUCUAGUGGUUGGGGAUGAGCUCGCGGCCUAUCAGCUUGUUGGUGGGGUAAUGGCCUACCAAGGCGGCGACGGGUAGCCGGCCUGGGAGGGUGGACGGCCACAUUGGGACGGGGAUACGGCCCAGACUGGUGCGGGAGGCAGCAGAGGGGGAUAUUGCAGAGUGGGCGGAAGCCUGAUGCAGCGACGGCGCGUGGGGGAUGACGGGCUUGGGGUUGUAAACUCCUGUGGAACGAGAGGAGGCCACCUGGUUGGAAGGGUGGUGACGGUAGUGGUAGAAGAAGCACCGGCUAACUACGUG
rnacentral:rRNA from 1 species